rnacentral:rRNA from 1 species
GGGUCAGUAGGUUGGUCGUGCCACCGGUACGUACUGGUCUCACUGAUCCCUCCUUCCUGAAGAGCCGUAAUGCCAUUAAUUUGGUGUUGCGGGGAAACAGGACUGUUACUUUGAAAAAAUUAGAGUGUUUAAAGCAAGCUAACGCUUGAAUACAUUAGCAUGGAAUAAUGAAAUAGGACGAUCGAUCCUAUUUUGUUGGUUUCUAGGAUUGACGUA